GCAAAUCUAUUCAUCUGAAGGGACCUAAUGCUUGGCAUGCGGUUUCCGAGCGACGAGAAGAAUCCUGCCAAUCGAUGCCAUGCUACACUCAUGACCCACACCAUGCAUGCUCCACAUCAACGUCUGCCGCCCGCGCUAUAUAAAGGCCUGCAGGGCUGUGGGGGGAACAUGCCCCAAACGCCCCUCAUCAGCACACACCUCUACCUUGAUACCAAGAAGAAGAAGAAGACAGCGCAGCCGUCAUGUCAUCAGUGAGGACCCUGCUUGUGAUUAGCGCCUGUCUGGUGGGGAUGAGCCUCAUCACCACCGGCCAGCCUGUGGACCAUAUGGAAGCCUACUGCAAGGUGGUCUGGCUUUUUGGAUAUCCUUGUGCCCAAGUGAACAAGACCAUACUGACACAGAUGAAGUCCAUGGAGCAGUACAAGCUUGGGACCGUGAAUGCAGACCUUAUUGAGGCCACUCACACUUCCGUCG